rnacentral:rRNA from 1 species
GGCUCAGGACGAACGCUGGCGGCGUGCUUAACACAUGCAAGUCGAACGAUGAUGCCCAGCUUGCUGGGCGGAUUAGUGGCGAACGGGUGAGUAAUACGUGAGUAACCUGCCCCUGACUCUGGGAUAAGCCUGGGAAACCGGGUCUAAUACUGGAUACGACAUCCUGUCGCAUGGCGGGGUGUGGAAAGGGUUUACUGGUUUUGGAUGGGCUCACGGCCUAUCAGCUUGUUGGUGGGGUAAUGGCUCACCAAGGCGACGACGGGUAGCCGGCCUGAGAGGGUGACCGGCCACACUGGGACUGAGACACGGCCCAGACUCCUACGGGAGGCAGCAGUGGGGAAUAUUGCACAAUGGGCGGAAGCCUGAUGCAGCGACGCCGCGUGAGGGAUGACGGCCUUCGGGUUGUAAACCUCUUUCAGUAGGGAAGAAGCGA